rnacentral:rRNA from 1 species
CCUACGGGGGGCUGCAGUGGGGAAUAUUGGACAAUGGGCGAAAGCCUGAUCCAGCCAUGCCGCGUGUGUGAAGAAGGCCUUCGGGUUGUAAAGCACUUUCAGUGGGGAAGAAAGCCUUGGGGCUAAUACCCUCGAGGAAGGACAUCACCCACAGAAGAAGCACCGGCUAACUCCGUGCCAGCAGCCGCGGUAAUACGGAGGGUGCGAGCGUUAAUCGGAAUUACUGGGCGUAAAGCGCGCGUAGGCGGUCUGAUAAGCCGGUUGUGAAAGCCCCGGGCUCAACCUGGGAACGGCAUCCGGAACUGUCAGGAUAGAGUGCAGGAGAGGAAGGUAGAAUUCCCGGUGUAGCGGUGAAAUGCGUAGAGAUCGGGAGGAAUACCAGUGGCGAAGGCGGCCUUCUGGACUGACACUGACGCUGAGGUGCGAAAGCGUGGGUAGCAAACAGGAUUAGAUACCCCAGUAGUC